UACGUAGGGGGCUAGCGUUGUCCGGAAUCAUUGGGCGUAAAGAGCGCGUAGGCGGCCAGAUAAGUCCGGUGUGAAAGUCAAAGGCUCAACCUUUGAAUGCCGCUGGAAACUGUCUGGCUAGAGUCCGGGAGGGGCGAGUGGAAUUCCUGGUGUAGCGGUGAAAUGCGCAGAUAUCAGGAGGAACACCAAUGGCGAAGGCAGCACUCUGGGACGUGACUGACGCUGAGACGCGAAAGCGUGGGGAGCAAACAGG
rnacentral:rRNA from 1 species